rnacentral:rRNA from 1 species
UACGUAGGGGGCAAGCGUUGUCCGGAUUUAUUGGGCGUAAAGCGCGUGUAGGCGGCCACACAAGUCCGCUGUGAAAACUCGAGGCUCAACCUCGAGCUGUCGGUGGAAACUGUGUGGCUAGAGUCCGGAAGAGGAGAGUGGAAUUCCCGGUGUAGCGGUGAAAUGCGCAGAUAUCGGGAAGAACACCCAUGGCGAAGGCAGCUCUCUGGGACGGUACUGACGCUGAGACGCGAAAGCGUGGGGAGCGAACAGG